rnacentral:rRNA from 1 species
UACAGAGGUCUCAAGCGUUGUUCGGAUUCAUUGGGCGUAAAGGGUGCGUAGGCGGCGCGGUAAGUCGGGUGUGAAAUCUCGGAGCUUAACUCCGAAACUGCAUUCGAUACUGCCGUGCUUGAGGACUGGAGAGGAGACUGGAAUUUACGGUGUAGCGGUGAAAUGCGUAGAUAUCGUAAGGAAGACCAGUGGCGAAGGCGGGUCUCUGGACAGUUCCUGACGCUGAGGCGCGAAGGCCCAGGGGGAGCAAACGGGG